UACAAAUUUCCAUUUCUUUCUAAUUUCAGUUUCAAUCUUUUCCUUAAUUUCCCAUUUUUAUUACUCACCUAAUCAUUGCACUACUACUCUCUGUCACCUACUUCGAAUGCUUCAAAACCGCCAGUGACGGCGACAGGAACGGCGUGAAUCAAUGGCGCGACGCAAAAACCACGGCGAAAACUCUCCGAACAAAAUCAACACAAACCCUAACGGCGCCAAACGAGGUUGUUAACGGUUCCCUAUUUCGCCCCCCCUAGGGUUUCGACCACAAAGAAACCCAACAAUUGCUUGCAGUUAUGUCCCAUUCAGCUGAAGCAGACAAAGUUGAGAGCCUUGAGUUUAAGUGGGGUAAAAAGAGAGGUGUUGGUGGAAAAAAGAAAGAGGUCCAGUUUUAUGAUUCUUUUACUUAUGAUGAUGGUGUUGACUAUAUUCUUCAUGACUGCGUAUGUAUGUAUAAGGAAGGUGAACCUAAGCCUUAUAUUGGUAAGCUGAUAAAGAUAUGGGAGAAUGGAGAUAAGAGGAAAAAAUGUCAAGGUUCAAUGGUUCUUCCACCCUUCAGAGAUUUUGAAUUGGCUUCGAGGUGAAGAGGCACUUCCGAACGAAAUUUUUUUGGCAUCGGGUGAACGUGCUGGUGUGGCGAAUAUUAAUCCUUUGUAAUUGAACUUUUGUAAGUUGUUUUAGAAUCGUAUCUCUCUUAUGCUCUUUGUCUUCUUUUUUGAUUGUAUUCUGCAGUUCAUAUUUUGUACAUGGCUGGGUCCGACCAAAUUGAUGACUUCUAGUACUUUGGAUUAGUAUUUUUCUAUUAGAAUGUUAUUUUUCAUGUCGUUUGGUCCCAUUCAGCAUUUAUUUUUGGUAUUAUAUGUGAGAUCAAGAUUUGGUA